rnacentral:rRNA from 1 species
CGCAAUGGACGAAAGUCUGACGCAGCAACGCCGCGUGAGGGAUGAAGGCCUUCGGGUUGUAAACCUCUUUUAAUCAGGGAAGAUAAUGACGGUACCUGAUGAAUAAGUCACGGCUAACUACGUGCCAGCAGCCGCGGUAAUACGUAGGUGACGAGCGUUGUCCGGAUUUACUGGGCGUAAAGAGCGCGCAGGCGGUCGUUCUAGUCGAGUGUGAAAGCCCCCGGCUCAACUGGGGAGGGUCAUUCGAUACUGAUCGACUCGAAGGCAGGAGAGGGUAGUGGAAUUCCCGGUGUAGUGGUGAAAUGCGUAGAUAUCGGGAGGAACACCAGUGGCGAAGGCGACUACCUGGCCUGUUCUUGACGCUGAGGCGCGAAAGCUAGGGGAGCAAACGGGAUUAGAUACCCCGGUAGUCCUAGCCGUAAACGAUGGACACUAGGUGUUGGUGGUAUCAACCCCGCCAGUGCCGAAGCUAACGCAUUAAGUGUCCCGCCUGGGGAGUACGGCCGCAAGGCUA